rnacentral:rRNA from 1 species
GACGAACGCUGGCGGCGUGCUUAAUACAUGCAAGUCGAACGGAAAGGCCCUGCUUUUGCGGGGUGCUCGAGUGGCGAACGGGUGAGUAACACGUGAGUAACCUGCCCUUGACUUUGGGAUAACUCCAGGAAACUGGGGCUAAUACCGGAUAGGAGCUCCUGAUGCAUGGUGGGGGAUGGAAAGAUUCGGCGGUUGGGGCUGGACUCGAGGCUCAUCAGCUUGUUGGUGGGGUAGUGGCUUACCAAGGCUUUGACGGAUAGCCGGCCUGGGAGGGUGACCGGCCACAUUGGGACUGAGAGACGCCCCAGACUGCUACGGGAGGCAGCAGUGGGGAGUAUUGCACAAUGAGCGGAAGCCUGAUGCGACAGCGCCGCGUGCGUGAUGACGGCCUACGGGUGAUAAACCGCUUUCUCCUGUAACGAGGCGUGAGUGACGGUAAUGGGUAAAGAAGCACCGGCUAACUACGUG